GCUCUGGUUCUCGUAGCCUAGGUCAAUCAGCGCCUGGUUGAGUCUGCGCCGAAAAUCCCCUGCAGUCUACGGAUUAUAAGAACCCUGAGCUGUGGUGUUCUCAAGGGCCUCAGUGUUAUAAGACCUCUCACAGAGAAAGGUAUUUCAGCAACAAUCAAGAGUAACCAUUCCCCUCACCAUGCCUGAUAUGGUCUUCUCGUUGUCUUUGUUCCACAUCAGCGCCUCCGUGGUGAGGUGGUAUUGCGCCGCCGCCCGCAUCUCUUCCUUCGUGCAGUUCAGGUUCUCUUCCUGCAGGUGACUCUCAAACCAGUUAUCCUCGUACCAUCCUGAAGGAAAACGGGAGCUGGAGCAACACGCAGAACGUUAUCCAUGCAGACACCUGUGCACUUCCCACCUGUCGCGCCGCCCUCACCUGUCCUCAUCAAGCCUCCCCGUCACGCAGGUAAAGGUAAGGCCCAGUGGGGAAUAUUGUUAAAAAGUUAUUUCCGCUAGUUAUUGUAUCAGUGCUCUCUAUUUUUCUCUCUUCCUCUUUUUUUUUUUUUUCUGGGCAUUUUAUUGUGUUCCAAAAUUUACGUUAGAGGUUUCGUGGCUUUAAGAAUUGUGGAAAAAAAAACGCUGAGAAAUUAACGUAAGGAGUGCCGUGUAAAAAGAAAGAAAAAAAAGGAAAGGAAAGGAAAGAGGUAAAAAUGAGGAAAAGUAUUAGGAAUAUCGGAUCUCUAGGAAAAAAAAAGUGGAAAAUGAAUGUUCUAGAUUUUGUGUUUUAAGAAUGGUAAAAAAAAAUACUAUUAGAAGUUAUGUACAUACAUGUAUUUUGAAAAUGGUAAAAAAAAAAAAAAAAAAAAAAAAAAAAAAUCUUCAUGAAAAUUAUAACAAGAAAAUGAUAAUAGAAAUUUAUUGUCUUUGAGAACUGUCGCCGAAAAAUGAACGUUACAAGUUUCGUGCCCUUAAUGAUUAUCAAAACGAAAGAAAAUUAAUGUUAGAAGAACCAGGAAAGAGGACAGCGAAAGUUUGAAAUCUCUUGCAAAAAAAAAAUAAAAAUAAAUAAAUAAAUAAAAUAAAUAAAUAAAUAAAUAAAUAAAUAAACAAAUAAAACAAGAACAUUUUCCGCGAUUCCUGAAGCGUUCAUGAAACACUCCCUUACUCCUGAAGCCUUUGUGGAGCACCGCCUCGCCUCAUUCUCUUCAUCCCCCACACUGACAAAGGAACGCCGAGGAAACCUUCAUCUCGUUUUCUUAGUUCUCUCAUUUCUCUCUAAUUCUUCGUAGUGUUACCAAAAUACGAGCAUAGCAGUGAAAUGGUUGAUAAAUAUGUAGACUAGAAUUAUUAACCUCUAUUAUUUUUACUUAAUUUCUGCGUCCAUAAAAACAAUGACCUUUUUAUUUAUUUAUUUAUUUAUCUAUCUAUUUAUUUAAUUACUUAUUUUUAUUUUAUUUUUUAUUUAUUUAUUUAUUUAUUUAUUUAUUUAUUUAUUUUCAUUUAUUUAUUUAUUUUUUGCUGUUUUUUUACUUGUUUAGAAGGAUGACCGUAGCUGUACAAGGGAUUUAGAUACCUUGGACUCAUUACCAAUAGUUUUAAAGGUUACCUAUAUCAUUCCUCGUGUUCUCCCUGUUGAUGAUGUAGAAACCUUACUGAACUAUCACCAGACUCACGAAAACACCCUUGGAAACCUCAAUAAUUUUCACCAGAGCCAGUUAAACUACCACUUUUAGAAUUGUGAAGCAUGAAAACACCCUUGAGGAAAGCCGUCAAUAACUAGAACCUGUUAAGCUGUCACUAGAUUCAUCAAUUCACCUUUAAUAACCCCAAUAACUUCUUACAGAGCCUAUUAAACCCUCACUAAAAUCGUGAAUCAUGGAAACACCCUUAAAAACCCCAGUAAUUCCGUGAGAGGGUAUCAGACCAUCACUAGAAUCGCCAAAACACCCUUGCAAGCCCUAACAGCAAAUAUUAGACACUGCUAAACCCUCACUGGAAUCAUGGAUCAUAAAACACUGUUGAAAAUCCUAAUAAUUUCCACGAGAGCCCGUCAGACUGUCACUAGAAUCAUGAAAACACUCUUGAAAAUCCCAAUAACUUCCACUGCAGCCCGUUAAACACCCUUCAAAACCCUAAUUUCUUCCAUUACAGCCUGUUAAAUUGUUCCUAGCAUUACGAAUCACGAAAACACCCUUGAAAACCCCAAUAACUUCCACUGCAGCCUAUUAAACACACCAGAAUCUUGAAAACUCCCCCUUGAAAAUCUUGAAAAACCAUGAAAACCUUGAAAACACCCCUGAAAACCCCUCGCAAUAGAUCCCACCACAGCCUUUUAAAUAUAGAAGACGGGAUCAGGGACUACUUAACAGUGGGUGUGCCCUUUAAACUCCUGUCACUUCACGACUAUCACCUGACGCC